AAACCGCUAAAUUAUUGUGCAUGGUUCAUGAAAUACGUGACGCGUUUUAGAUGUAGUAGAAAACCACAAUUUUGGAUGGUGCAUGAUGUAUGUAGCAUAUAUUUUAUCAAGGGCAAAUUAGAGAACAUUGCUGGGGGAAUUUGUUUCCUAGUUCUGUUUCCCGCUAGUGGACGAACUAGAAAACAUUAUUUCCUAGCAACAUUGAUUCGUAGCCAUGUUUCCUAAAGGUGGACAAACUAGCAAACAUUGUUCCCUGGUCGUGUUUUCCAAAGGUGGACAAACCAGGAAACAUUGUUUCCUAGUCGUGUUUUCCAAAGCUGGGUAAACAAGGAAGCUGUGUUUCCUAUAGUGAUGUUUCCCAAAGGUGAGCAAAUUAUAAGGAAACAUCAAUUCCCAAGGCUGGAAAACAUGAAACAGUGUUUCCUAGCCAUGUUUCUCAAAGCUGGACAAACCAGGAAACCUUGUUUCCUAGUGAUGUUUUCCAAAGCUGGGUAAACAAGGAAGCAUUGUUUCCUAGUGAUGUUUCCCAAAGGUGAGCAAAUUAGGAAACAUCAAAUCCCAAGGUUGAAAACAUGAAACAGUGUUUCCUAGCCAUAUUUCUCAAAGGUGGACAAACAACCAGGAAACCUUGUUUCCUAGUCAUGUUUUUCAAAGCUGCGUAAACAAGGAAGCAUUGUUUCCUAUAGUGAUGUUUCCCAAAGGUGAGCAAAUUAGGAAACAUCAAAUCUCAAGGCUGGAAAACAUGAAACAGUGUUUCCUGGUCAUGUUUCUCAAAGCUGGACAAACCAGGAAACAUUGUUUUCUGGACAUGUCUCCCAAAGCUGUGUUAACCAGGAAAAAUUGGUUUCCCAAAGCUGAGCAAAGCAGAAAACGUUGUUUCCCAGCGAAUAACGGUUCCCGAAGCUGGACAAACCAAGAAACAUUGUUUUCUAGCCGUGUUUCCCAAAUACAUCUUUUUGUGAAACCAAUGGUGGGAAAGCCGGGAAGCAUUGUUCCCUGGCCAUAUGUUUGCCAAAUGUUGGAAAACCAGGAAGCAUUUGUCAGAAAUUUUUGCCUGUAAUGUAAAUUACUUGUAGUAAAUAUCUCAAUUAUAAGAAAUUCUGGCUAUGAAAUGUCCAGACAUAGAAGUUGAAAAGUAAGAAAACGUUUGUGAUGUAAUAGUACCUUUUUGCGAAACAAAUAUUCCGAAUUUGUUGUGAACUAUUUUUUAUACAAUUGCCACACAUACGAUAGUCGUUCUGGUGUAUG
rnacentral:lncRNA from 1 species